rnacentral:rRNA from 1 species
UACGGGGGGAGCAAGCGUUGUUCGGAUUUACUGGGCGUAAAGGGCGCGUAGGCGGCCACCGCAAGUCGGUUGUGAAAUCUCUGGGCUUAACCCAGAAAGGUCAACCGAUACUGCGGGGCUAGAGUGCAGAAGGGGCAACUGGAAUUCUCGGUGUAGCGGUGAAAUGCGUAGAUAUCAAGAGGAACACCUGCGGCGAAGGCGGGUUGCUGGGCCGACACUGACGCUGAAGCGCGAAAGCUAGGGGAGCGAACAGG